rnacentral:rRNA from 1 species
GAUGAACGCUAGCUACAGGCUUAACACAUGCAAGUCGAGCGACCGGCGCACGUGUGAGUAACACGUAUCCAACCUGCCCUUUACUCGGUGAUAGCCUUUCAAAAGAAAGAUUAAUACCCGACGUAAAGGAUGGGGAUGCGUUCAAUUAGUUUGUGGGUGAGGUAACGGCUAAGCAAGCCUUCGAUGGUUAGGGUUUCGGAGAGGAAGGUACCCUACAUCGGAACUAAGACACGGGCCACACUCCUAGGGGAGGCAGCGGUGAGGAGUAUAAGUGAAUGAGCGUUAGCCUGAACCAGCCAAGUAGAGUGAGGGAUGAAGGCGUAUGGGUGGUAUACUUGUUGUAAAUAAGAAUAUGUAUUAUAUGAAUAAGGAUCGGCUAACUCCGUGCCAGCAGCCGCGGUAAUAC